ACCCUGNGGAGCUUUAGACACCAAGACAACUCAUGUUAAGUACCCCUAGACAAAGGACUGAACUUAAUGAAACCUUGAUCUGAUGUCUUUGGUUGGGGCGACCACGGGGAGAGAAAAAACCCCCACGUGGAACGGGAGCACUGCUUCCCCCACAACUAAAAGCGACAGCUCUAAGCAACAGAACAUCUGACCUUAAGAUCCGGCUCUCCUGCCGAUUAACGAACCGAGUUACCCCAGGGAUAACAGCGCAAUCCCCUUUUAGAGCUCAUAUCGACAAGGGAAUUUACGACCUCGAUGUUGGAUCAGGACAUCCUAAUGGUGCAGCCGCUAUUAAGGGUUCGUUUGUUCAACGAUUAAAGUCCUAC
rnacentral:rRNA from 1 species